AGAGUGAACGCUGGCGGUAGGCCUAACACAUGCAAGUCGAACGGCAGCACGGUAAGAGCUUGCUCUUAUGGGUGGCGAGUGGGCGGACGGGUGAGGAAUACAUCGGAAUCUACCUUUUGGUGGGGGAUAACGUAGGGAAACUUACGCUAAUACCGCAUACGCCCUUCGGGGGAAAGCCGGGGACCAGCAAUGGCCUGGCGCUGAUAGAUGAGCCGAUGUCGGAUUAGCUAGUUGGUGAGGUAAUGGCUCACCAAGGCGACGAUCCGUAGCUGGUCUGAGAGGAUGAUCAGCCACACGUAGGAACUGAGACACGGUCCACGACUCCGUACGGGAGCGAGCGUAGGUGGGGUAAUAGUUAGGAAC
rnacentral:rRNA from 1 species